GAUGAACGCUAGCUACAGGCUUGACACAUGCAAGUCGAGGGGAAACGACAUCGAAAGCUUGCUUUUGAUGGGCGUCGACCGGCGCACGGGUGAGUAACGCGUAUCCAACCUGCCCACCACUUGGGGAUAACCUUGCGAAAGUAAGACUAAUACCCAAUGACGUCUCUAGAAGACAUCUGAAAGAGAUUAAAGAUUUAUCGGUGAUGGAUGGGGAUGCGUCUGAUUAGCUUGUUGGCGGGGUAACGGCCCACCAAGGCGACGAUCAGUAGGGGUUCUGAGAGGAAGGUCCCCCACAUUGGAACUGAGACACGGUCCAAACUCCUACGGGAGGCAGCAGUGAGGAAUAGUGGUCAAUGGACGAGAGUCUGAGCCAGCCAAGUAGCGUGCAGGAUGACGGCCCUAUGGGUUGUAAACUGCUUUUAUAAGGGAAUAAAGUGAGUCUCGUGAGACUUUUUGCAUGUACCUUAUGAAUAAGGACCGGCUAAUUCCGUG
rnacentral:rRNA from 1 species